GACAGAGGUGCCAAGCGUUAGGCGGAAUCACUGGGCUUAAAGCGUGUGUAGGCGGAUUUGUAAGUACCUUGUGAAAUCCCACGGCUCAACCGUGGAACUGCUCGGUAUACUGCUUAUCUUGAGCCACUUAGGGGCUACCGGAACAAAUGGUGGAGCGGUGAAAUGCGUAGAUAUCAUUUGGAACGCCAAUGGUGAAAACAGGUAGCUGGGAGUGUGCUGACGCUGAGACACGAAGGCCAGGGGAGCAAACGGG
rnacentral:rRNA from 1 species